UCGUUUAGAGUGGAGAAAGAGAAUUCAUAUAGCCGACCCCAAUAAAUUUUUGGGAUAAAGGCUUAGCUAAGUUGAGUUGAAUUGAGUUGAGUUUUGUGGGGGUGGGGGGGGGGGGACCCAAUAUGCAUCUUACAACCUAGACGCCGCACUACCACAUGCAUGCAUGUUAUAUCUAUAAAAUUUACUGAUGGAUGGAAGAAGGAUUGGAUUUUGCACACAAUGGACCAAGUUCUAAGGUUAGGUAAAGAAAAUAAAGGGUGGGAAGCAAAUAUAAAAUACUUAAAUUUAUGACAUGCAUAAUAGUAAAGGCAUUGUAUUUCAAAAAGAAAAUUUAUGAUGACCAAUGCAAAAACAGGGCUACUAUUUUUCUUAACUGAACAGGCCAAAAAAAGAAUGUUCAGCCAGACAUGUAGACAAGAAAUUUUGAGUAAGGGCUAAAGAAAAUCACACAAUAUUAUGCAAUUCUAAGAGCACAGCUAAGAUUUAAAAGCAAGCUUAUUGGAAAAAUAGUAUUUAUAUAAACAGUAGGUAGUUAACAGGAGGCAGAAAAAAGGAGAAGAGGUUUUCCAUUCUCUCA
rnacentral:misc_RNA from 1 species